GCCUGGGUGGCUCAGUCGGUUAAGCGUCUGACUUUGGCUCAGGUCAUGAUCUUGCGGUUUGUAGGUUCCAGCCCUGCAUUGGGCU
rnacentral:tRNA from 1 species